rnacentral:rRNA from 1 species
AAAUGAAUUGACGGGGGCCCGCACAAGCGGUGGAGCAUGUGGUUUAAUUCGAUGCAACGCGAAAAACCUUACCUACCCUUGACAUCCUAGGAAUCUUUCAGAGAUGAGAGAGUGCCUUCGGGAACCUAGAGACAGGUGAUGCAUGGCUGUCGUCAGCUCGUGUCGUGAGAUGUUGGGUUAAGUCCCGUAACGAGCGCAACCCUCGUCCUUAGUUGCUACCAGGUUAAGCUGAGCACUCUAGGGAGACCGCCGGUGAUAAACCGGAGGAAGGCGGGGAUGACGUCAAGUCAUCAUGUCCCUUACGGGUAGGGCUACACACGUGCUACAAUGGACAGUACAGAGGGUUGCCAAGCCGCGAGGUGGAGCUAAUCUCAAAAAACUGUUCGUAGUCCGGAUUGGAGUCUGCAACUCGACUCCAUGAAGUUGGAAUCGCUAGUAAUCGCAAAUCAGCAUGUUGCGGUGAAUACGUUCCCGGGCCUUGUACACACCGCCCGU